UCCGGUUUAACACCGGCAGUCUCCUUAGAGUGCCCAACUAAAUGAUGGCAACUAAGGACAAGGGUUGCGCUCGUUAAGGGACUUAACCCGACAUCUCACGAUACGAGCUGACGACAGCCAUGCAGCACCUGUCUUCCUGCCUCCGAAGAGGAGACCCUAUCUCUAGGGCUGUCAGGAGAUGUCAAACCCAGGUAAGGUUCUUCGCGUUGCAUCGAAUUAAACCACAUGCUCCACCGCUUGUGCGGGCCCCCGUCAAUUCCUUUGAGUUUUAAUCUUGCGACCGUACUUCCCAGGCGGGGUACUUAAUGCGUUAGCUACGACACUGCAGGGGUCAAUUCCUGCAACAUCUAGUACCCAUCGUUUACGGCGUGGACUAC
rnacentral:misc_RNA from 1 species